CCCUCCUUCGUCACACGUCAUAUCAUUCUGGGCUCGGCUGCGAGCAAACGGGCUCUACGAUUCAUCAAAGCGGACUUUGUGGCUCUUUACCUUCGUCUUUUCACGUGACGGCGGAGGUUACGGAGAGGGGAAAGCCGCCUUGCCCAAAGCGGCUUCACGGUCUGUGCAGGGAUUAAAGUCGCUCCGUUUUCGUCGAAACUGCCAGUGGUGCGCAUUCAUGCUGGAGCUAAAUGCGGUACGAAGCUAAAAUGAUGCCGAUGUUCCUGACUGUUUACCUCAGUAACAAUGAUCAGCAUUUUACUGAGGUUCCCAUCACUCCGGAUACGCUAUGUCGGGAUGUGGUGGACUUGUGCAAGGAGGCGGGCGAGACCGACUGUCACCUGUCAGAAACGUGGCGCGGAUCCGGU